rnacentral:rRNA from 1 species
AUGGAUGCGGAUACUGCUUUUAUGCUGACAGUUAGGAUGGAAACAAGCCGUGAGAGUAGCAAUGGUGUCAAGCGAUAUGUUGGCGGCUUUGAUUUUCCUCUAUUCGUGGAACCUAGUAUCACACACAAAACAUUGCUGCACAAGCUGUGUGAUAGCUAUCCAUGGGGGUGGCGUGAUCACGUUGAGUUGAAGUACUAUGACACGGAGCAGAAUAAAUGGGUUGCUGUUGUAUGUGAUGAUGAUGCAGCUUUGAUGUUUGGAAAACAUCUAGAUUCAAAGAAAAUAUCUAUGCAAAUUGAGGUUCUUCAAAAAUCCCAAACUUGUUAUAGUGAGAGUCAACAUAACCGACGAUGCUAUACCUGA